rnacentral:rRNA from 1 species
UCGACCGCCUGGGGAGUACGGCCGCAAGGUUAAAACUCAAAUGAAUUGACGGGGGCCCGCACAAGCGGUGGAGCAUGUGGUUUAAUUCGAUGCAACGCGAAGAACCUUACCUGGUCUUGACAUCCACAGAACUUAGCAGAGAUGGUUUGGUGCCUUCGGGAACUGUGAGACAGGUGCUGCAUGGCUGUCGUCAGCUCGUGUUGUGAAAUGUUGGGUUAAGUCCCGCAACGAGCGCAACCCUUAUCCUUUGUUGCCAGCGGUUAGGCCGGGAACUCAAAGGAGACUGCCAGUGAUAAACUGGAGGAAGGUGGGGAUGACGUCAAGUCAUCAUGGCCCUUACGACCAGGGCUACACACGUGCUACAAUGGCAUAUACAAAGAGAAGCGACCUCGCGAGAGCAAGCGGACCUCAUAAAGUAUGUCGUAGUCCGGAUUGGAGUCUGCAACUCGACUCCAUGAAGUCGGAAUCGCUAGUAAUCGUAGAUCAGAAUGCUACGGUGAAUACGUUCCCGGGCCUUGUACACA